GUGAAAAGAGGUAACUAGUCGGGAUCUAGCAUUGGAAGCCAGUAGGAACAUUCCUUGAGCAAACGUUGAGAAGCAAGCUAAGGGAGAUUUGGGAUAUUAAGGUUGAUGCCUAGGAUG